GAAUGCAAGCGUGAUGUAGCUGCAACAUCUGUCACCCCACUGAUCACCAGGGUUGAUCUGGCCGUUCUGGCUGGCAGGGCAGGUGUACCCUUCCCCCCUCACUGCUCCUUGUGCGUCCCCCCACUCUCAAAGCUGUGCACUUGGUGGAAGAGGACGACCACCCCAAAUAAAGCAGGACCAUUUCCUCCAUCAGGGGUACAGGUAGCUGUGCUCCCCUGCUAGGACCUUCAAAUAAGCUCUCAGGGUACUAUGUUGUGAUACCGUUUGGUGCAUUAACCUGAACACAGGAGGAGCCAUUGGCACUCGUAAUGUGAUCAUCUGCCUUU
rfam:Fukomys damarensis contig128881, whole genome shotgun sequence.